rnacentral:sRNA from 1 species
AUGUUUUGUCUUUUCUUUUUCUAGCAUCCGGGGAUGGAGAAUCACUGGAUGAAGAUUCUGAAUUCACACUAGCCUCUGAUUUUGAAAUUGGACACUUUUUCCGAGAGCGGAUAGUCCCGCGGGCUGUGCUGUACUUCACUGGGGAGGCUAUAGAAGAUGAUGACAAUUUUGAAGAAGGUGAAGAAGGAGAAGAGGAGGAAUUAGAAGGUGACGAGGAGGGAGAAGACGACGAUGAUGCGGAAAUUAACCCCAAGAAGGAACCCAGCCAGCCGGCGGAAUGCAAGCAGCAGUAGGAAGCGGAGGCGGGUGCCUGGCAGACCGGCUGUCGGGACUCCAGGCCUGUGGGCGGGGCCUCGGUCCUUGCCGCCGCACAACCCCGUGGACAGAGCUGACUCCAUCUAACUCGUUUCCAAGUGCAUGAUUUUCACUUUCACUUUUCCUUUUUCCUUAUUAUUUUGCUUAACUUGUAAAGUGGCAACUGAAAUGCAUUUCAGAAAUAGGAGGUUUCGUCCAGCACCCUCUGCAGCCGUGGUGCCUGUAGCUCUGGACUUGCCUGGGCCUUUCCCUGUG